AAUAAGUAGGUAACAAGUAAAUACGUAAGUGAGUAAACAAGUAAGCAAAUAAGAAAACAAGUAAGUAAAUAAAGUAAGUAAAUAAGUAAGUAAGUAAGUAAUACAAGCAAGUAAAUAAGAAAAGUAAGUAAGUAAAUAAGUAAGUAAAUAAGAAAAGUAAGUAAGUAAACAAGUAAGUAAACAGGUAAACAAGAAGGUAAGGAAGUAAAUAAGCAAAUAGAAAACACGUAAGUAAACAAGUAAGUAGAUAAGUAAAUAAGUAAGUAAAUAAGUAAAUAAGUAAGCACUUACUGACUGACUUGCUGAAGUGAGUAAGUAAAUAAGUAUUUAAGUAAGUAUGAAAGGAAGUAAGUGAAUAAAUAAGUAUGUAAGGAAGUCAGCAGGGUAUGUAAAACGUAAGUAUAGAAAUAUCUAAAUACAUAUGCAAGGAAGCAGUUUUAACACACAGGAAAUAAGAAACAUUCGCUUCUAAAAAUAAUAACGCAUCACCGGAACGUGUAGCGCCUCCGGGAUAACAAGCUUCUGAAGGAAGAAAUCAAACGAGAUAUCUUGAGGCUCAUACACAAGGCGGAAUCUGUGAAAUAUCCAAACACGACGCCUGCAAAACACACGGCCGCUUAAUGGAGCAAGACCUAACGAUUAGGAGACGCUGACUGAUGAGAUUAAGAUGUUAACGCUGCUUUACGG
ensembl:lncRNA